rnacentral:rRNA from 1 species
UACGUAGGGUGCGAGCGGUGUCCGGAAUUAUUGGGCGUAAAGGGCUCGUAGGCGGUUUGUCGCGUCGGGAGUGAAAACACUGGGCUUAACCGAGUGCUUGCUUUCGAUACGGGCAGACUUGAGGCAUUGAGGGGAGAACGGAAUUCCUGGUGUAGCGGUGAAAUGCGCAGAUAUCAGGAGGAACACCCGUGGCGAAGGCGGCUCUCUGGGACGGUACUGACGCUGAGACGCGAAAGCGUGGGGAGCGAACAGG